UCUGGACAGGAAAAGGCUCUGUUCAUCCGCUGCGAGGUCCAGUCCUGCCCCGGGCUGGGCAGGCUCCCAUGCAGUGACACUGCAGGGCUGUGUUAUCUCUACCUGCACACUGUCCAAACUCUGCUCACACCCCUGACACCAGCAGGGAAAAGGGAGGGUCCAAAUGCUGCCAUCACACCCAGAAAUGAAUCAAAGCGAGUUCUUAGGAUACUUGCACACUGCAUUUGCUCUGUCUGUAAGCUGAAGGGAUGCUGUUAUUCCCAGACAUUUAAUAAUGGGGCAGACCAGUCACAGAACCACAGAAACAUCAAGGUUGGAAAAGACCUACAAGAUCAUCCAGUCCAACCAUCCACCUAUCACCAAUAGUUCUCACUAAACCACGUCCCUCAACACAAAAUCCAAACGUUCCUUGAACACCUCUAGGGUCGGUGAAUCCACCUCCUCCCUGGGCAGCCCAUUCCAGUACCUGACCACUCUUUCAGAGAAGCAGUAUUUCCUAACGUCCAGCCUAAAUCUCCCCUGGCGCAGUUUGAAGCCAUAAGAUGACAUAUAUUAAAACAAGAGAAUAAAUGGCCAGAACUGAGCUGAGCUUCUGCAUACCUUCUAAAAAUGCUUCAAGGGAUGGAAUACCUCUGCUACAAGGGCAGGCUGAGGAAGAUGGGGCUGUGCAGCCUGGAGAAGGGAGGGCUCUGGGGAGACCUGGCCUCUCACUAUCUCAAAGGCAGCAAUAAGAGAGAAGGGGACACACUCUUUAGCAGAGUCUGUUGUGAUAGGACAAGGGGAAAUGGUUUCCAACUAAAAGAGGGCAAACUCAGACAGGAUGUAAGGAAGAAGCUUUUAUACCACGGGCAGUGAGGCAGUGGCACAGGUUGCCCAGAGAGGAGAUGGUGCCCCAUCCCUGCAGACAGCCACGGUCAGGAGAUGGGCUGUGAGCACUGAUGGAGCUGUGGGUGUCCCUGUUUGGUGCAGGGGUGGCACCAGAUGGCCUUUAUGGGUCCCUUCCAACUCCAACCAUUCAGUCAUUCUAUAACCUCCAUUGGGACUCAGGGGCAAAAAGGACAGUGAGGGCUGCUUUGAACCCAGACCUCUGAA